UAGGGAAUCUUCGGCAAUGGACGGAAGUCUGACCGAGCAACGCCGCGUGAGUGAAGAAGGUUUUCGGAUCGUAAAGCUCUGUUGUUAGAGAAGAACGUUGGUAGGAGUGGAAAAUCUACCAAGUGACGGUAACUAACCAGAAAGGGACGGCUAACUACGUGCCAGCAGCCGCGGUAAUACGUAGGUCCCGAGCGUUGUCCGGACUUAUUGGGCGUAAAGCGUGCGCAGGCGGUUCUUUAAGUCAGAAGUUAAAGGCAGUGGCUUAACCAUUGUACGCUUUGGAAACUGGAGGACUUGAGUGCAGAAGAGGAGAGUGGAAUUCAAUGUGUAGCGGUGAAAUGCGUAGAUAUAUGGAGGAACACCGGUGGCGAAAGCGGCUCUCUGGUCUGUUACUGACGCUGAGGCUCGAAAGCGUGGGGAGCAAACAGG
rnacentral:rRNA from 1 species